rnacentral:rRNA from 1 species
GUGUGGGGGACAUUCCACGUUUUCCGCGCCGUAGCUAACGCAUUAAGUGCCCCGCCUGGGGAGUACGGCCGCAAGGCUAAAACUCAAAGGAAUUGACGGGGGCCCGCACAAGCGGCGGAGCAUGCGGAUUAAUUCGAUGCAACGCGAAGAACCUUACCAAGGCUUGACAUGAACCGGAAUGAUGCAGAGAUGUGUCAGCCACUUGUGGCCGGUUUACAGGUGGUGCAUGGUUGUCGUCAGCUCGUGUCGUGAGAUGUUGGGUUAAGUCCCGCAACGAGCGCAACCCUCGUUCCAUGUUGCCAGCGGGUUAUGCCGGGGACUCAUGGGAGACUGCCGGGGUCAACUCGGAGGAAGGUGGGGACGACGUCAAAUCAUCAUGCCCCUUAUGUCUUGGGCUUCACGCAUGCUACAAUGGCCGGUACAAAGGGUUGCGAUACUGUGAGGUGGAGCUAAUCCCAAAAAGCCGGUCUCAGUUCGGAUUGAGGUCUGCAACUCGACCUCAUGAAGUUGGAGUCGCUAGUAAUCGCAGAUCAGCAACGCUGCGGUGAAUACGUUCCCGGGCCUUGUACACACCGCCCGUCAAGUCACGAAAGUUGGUAACACCCGAAGCCGGUGGCCUAACCCCUUGUGGGAGGGAGCCGUCGAAGGUGGGGCUG